rnacentral:rRNA from 1 species
GACGAACGCUGGCGGCGUGCUUAACACAUGCAAGUCGAACGGUGAUGACCAGCUUGCUGGUCUGAUCAGUGGCGAACGGGUGAGUAACACGUGAGUAACCUGCCCCAGACUCUGGGAUAAGCCUUGGAAACGAGGUCUAAUACUGGAUAUGAGAUGCCCCUGCAUGGGGAGUGUCUGGAAAGAUUUAUCGGUCUGGGAUGGACUCGCGGCCUAUCAGCUUGUUGGUGGGGUAAUGGCCUACCAAGGCGACGACGGGUAGCCGGCCUGAGAGGGCGACCGGCCACACUGGGACUGAGACACGGCCCAG